CACAGGUAAGGAACAGUGAGGAAAAUAACCUGUAGGUUUCACAGGAAUGAUCUACCAAGAACCACUGCAUGUACCACUGUGGUAGAAGUUAAGGAGUCUUCAUAGGAUGCUGGAUGAAGGCUGGAUACUUCUAUAUCAGCAGAAUGCUUUGUUUUAUGGCCUCUUGAUGCUGGAAUCAGCUCCACUUUCCCAAAGAAGAGGAAGAAAAUACUCCUGUCUGAAUCUGUGAUUGCCCUCUGUAGAGUUAAAUGUUCAAAGUGAAGACAACUUUUAAGAACAGAGCAAGAAAGGCAUGUAAUAACCAAAUAUAACUACCACCUUCUCUAAUAUGAGAACCAUGUCUUUAAGCGUAAAGUUGUUCUAGCCUUAGUAUAGAAUAUAGAAAAAUAUGCUUUCU
rnacentral:lncRNA from 1 species